UGAUUACUCACAAUGCCCAGCAGAUGGCAACACUGUACUUACUGUGUAUCUGUUGAACUCAGAGGUGGCCUAUGGAUUCUACUGUAAGGACUAACUACAAACACAGAAGCAUAGUGCAGUAAGCCAUUCCUCUCUGGGUGGUAAAAGUGACUCAGGGCCAGAAUCCCAGGUUUCCACCACAUCACAUGGAUGGUACAUGUGUAACAGGGUGGCACUGUUGAGUUGGUGAGCGCAGCCUUAAGUCUCUGUCAGUGCCGGUGGCUGUUCCUGUCGUUCUACAGCAGGGGUCGGCCCACGGGCUGCAAAGUGUUGUGUUACAGAACCAAAUCAAAUGUAAUUUGUCACAAGUUCCGUAAACAACAGGUGUAGACUUACAGUGAAAUGCUUAAUUUACAGGCCCUUCCCAACAAUUGCAGAGAGAAAAAUAUAGAAAGAAAAUAACACGAGGAAUAAAUACACAAUGAGUAACGAUAACUUGGCUAUAUACACAGGGUACCAGCACUGAGUUGAUGUGCAAGGGUAUUAGGUAAUUGAGGUAGAUAUGUACAUAUAUGUAGGGGUAAAGUGACAAGGCAACAGGAUAGAUAAUAAACAGUAGCAACAGUGUUAGUGCAAAGAGGGUCAAUGCAGAUAGUCUGGUUAGCUAUUUGGUUAACUAUUUAGUAGUCUUAUGAUUUGGGGGUAGAAGUUGUUCAGGAUCCUGUUGGUUCCAGACCUGGUACAUUGGUACCGCUUGCCAUGUGGUAGCAGAGAGAACAGGCUGUGACUUGGGUGGAUGGAGUCUUUGACAAAUGUUUUCCUCUGACACCGCCUGGUAUAGAGGUCCUGGAUGGCAGGACCAUACGCACUACCCUCUGUAGCGCCUUGCAGUCGGAUGCCAAGCAUUUGCCAUACCAAGCAGUGAUGCUACCAGUCAAGAUGCCUUUAAUGGUGCAUCUGUAGAACAUUGAGGAUCUGAGGGCCCAUGCCAAAUAUUUUCAGCCUCCUGAGGGGGGAAGAGGCAAUGUCAUACCUUCUUCACAAAUGUCUGGGUGGACAAUGUUUAUUCCUUAGUGAUGUGGAACUAAGGAACGUGAAGCUUUCAUCGCGCUCCACUACAGCCCCAUCGAUGUGGAUAGGGGUGUGCUUGGCCCUCCGUAUCCUGUAGUCCACGAUCAGCUCCUUUGUCUUGUUGAUGUUAAGGGAGAGGUUGUUGUCCUGGCACCACACUGCCAGAUCACUGACCUCCUCUAUAGGUGGUCUAAGCAGCCUUAAUGAUGGCGUUGGACUUGUGCGCAGCCAAGCAGUCGUGGGUGAACAGGGAGUACUGGAGGGGACUAAGCAUGCACCCCUGAGGGGCUCACGUGUUGAGGGUCAGCGUGGAAAACCUUUUGCUUCCUUGGUUAUAAAUGUGAGGACACAUUUCAAAAAUCGAGGGGAAAGAUAUGACAGGGUGGAACUGUUGAGUUGGUGAAUGCAGCCUUGUGCCUCUGUUGAUUGUAAUUACGAGUGUGGCCUUCAGUAUUUAACAUGGCUGUUCUUGUUGUUCUACAUAGUCGCAUUACCAUGAGAAGUUUGGCAUGCGCAGGGAGGAUGGGAGUGGCAACAUUGGGCUAGUACAAAUUUUGAAGUAUAUCCGGUGAUUUUGUAAGUGUGUAUGGCAAGAGUACCCGUAUGCCAAUUUUACCCACUCUCCUUCUCCCCUUGGCAUUCCCUCGUGAGAGUAUUGUGCAACAUGUUCUGUGAACACGAGUAAUUGAUCUGAUCUGUGUUAUGCCAUAACUCAGGCAUAUAUUGAAUAUAAUUGAGGAUUUGUCUGUCCCCUAAAGUUUUUUUUAUGCCCUGUGAUAGGGAAUCAGUACGAGCUAGAGCUUCCAAGGAACAUGUAUGCCUGGAGCUGAAGAUGAAAUUAUGGUGUCAAAUAUUUGUGGGUUGUUCACUAUACCGCUGCCUAUUAUUCCCAUGCUCCACUCCCUGAUGUUAGAGAAUCUGUGUGUUUCAGAUUAGUCCCGAGGACCUCCCCUCGCGUAUAUGUAAAUCCCUGUGUUACACAUCAGAAGAGGGCACACAGUAGUGAAGGCUGAGUCCCAAAUGCCUCCUUAUUCACUAUGGAGGGAAUAGGGUGCCAUUUGGGACUCACACUUAGUGUAUCCUCCUCUGAAAGGUUAUCAUAGCGGGGAUAGUUAGGAGAGACCGGGGAUGGUUGUAACACAGGACAGUUGUGACACUCAAUAUCUCUAAUCAGGAACAAGUCAGAAUCAUGUGACUCGCUGUGCACUAUUUAUUGUGAAGAAGCAAGACCCUGUGAUAGACUGGCGAUUUUAUUGGAAAAAAUAUGAUUUUGAGGUAAGAAAUUAAACAAAUUGACCAAAUGUAUUUUGCAGAUAGCAUCACCUGCUUUGUCGUUCAUCAAACUUAUCAGGUUUAUAACCAGUGUGUUAUUAUAUUAUAUAUUAUAUGUACGCUAUCAAUACUAAAGUUUGAUCAUGUGGCUAAAAAUUUAAGAUAGCUCAUGGCUGCAAGGGUCAGGGUUAGCCUAAGGAGGUCUGGGUGCUGGGCAUGCAAAUUGCCACAGGAGGAAUGCUGCCAGACAUUUUGGUGCUGCAAGAAAGCUCAGCACACCUCAAAUCCAGUGGUUAUGAGGUCAAAUCCCAGGUGGAGUUAUAUUUUAGAUGAACAGCUUACCACUUACUUUAAAAUCACCAUACCAUUACUUUAUUAUAAUGGUUUGGGAUCAUCUGGGACCAUCGUGACGUCCUGACGACUGGUAGAACAAGUGUCUUGAGAACAUCCACUUGCUUAAUCUAUAGUAUGUCACUUUUGUUUUGAGCCAACUUCGCCGUGGGCGUUUAGCGGGGCAGCCCGGUUCCAAACCAAAUGCAAUGACUUUUUACCCAGGGCAAACUCCUGCCGGGGCAACCUGUGUCAGAUAAUCAAAUGUCCCUUCAAUGUCUCACAUGCUCACGUUGUCACAUUUUAUCACAUUAACUUCACAGAAAAUGACACGUGAUCACACAAGAUCACACGUGUUCACUUGUGAAAUUCAUUCGUUUUUUUUUACAUAAGGGACACCACAUUCAGUUGUUUAGUCCAGAUGUUGUUGUUUAGUCCAGAUGUUGUUGUUUAGUCCGGAUGUUGUUGUAGUGGUUGAGAAGGGCCAGUUAAUGGAACGUAAAAAAAUGAUAUGAUUUUUAUUAUUAUUUUAUUAUUUCUGCUGCACAAAAUGUUAACCUCUAUGGGAUCGGUGCCCCCCCCAUAGGACGGUUGAGCUAAUGUGCGCUAAUGUGAUUAGCAUGACAUUUUAAGUAGCAAGAACAUUUCCCAGGACAUAGACAUAUCUGAUAUGGGCAGAAAGUUUAAAUUAUUGUUAAUCUAACUGCACUGUCCAAUUUACUGUAGCUGUUACAGUGAAAUGUUUUUUUUUCUUCAUUUUAUUAUCUUUUACCAGAUCUAAUGUGUUAUAUUCUCCUACAUUAAUUUCACAUUUCCACAAACUUCAAAGUGUUUCGUUUCAAAUGGUAUCAAGAAUAUACAUAUCUUGCUUCAGGUCCUGAGCUACAGGCUGUUCGAUUUUGGGUAUGUCAUUUUAAGCGAAAAUUGAAAAAAGGGUCCGAUCCUUAAGGGGACGUGGCAAUGUUGUUCUCAUGGUCUCCGUAAGGCUUUUAAUAUUUCGUUGCAUAUCAUGAUUUCUGCAUUUUUUUAAACUUACAUUUCACCCCAGGCCCUGUUACAACUGACCUGGGAGGUGACAUAAAUUGUAGCAUUUUACUCCUUGUCUGUUUGAUUUAGAGAGAUAACACCUAUACCUAUUGGUAGCAGACAGAUGGAAGCCGUUCCUAUCACAUAUUGAAUAUAGCAGCUCAAACAAUCUCUGAGAAAUUGACAAAAAUGCUAAAAGUGUUAGAACCAUCCCAGUCUCCCCAAAGUUAUGAAUUCUUCACCAGCACAGAGCGAAUGUUGGCACACUAUAUAUGCCCUGUCAUCUGGUGCCCUUAACUUUGUGUUAACGAUUUGUCAGUCCUAUUUAUUUCUGAAAUAUUCAAUAUAAUAUACAUUUUAUAUUAUGCUUUAUAUGAGAUAUGAUAAGUAGUUUGAUAUAUGAAAAAUUGUGCCAAUUGUUUUCCUGUAUUUCCUGUAUUUUGUGCUGUAGGCCUAUUUCUAGGCGAUCAUACAAAUAGAUUAUGUUGUGAAACAAGCUUUCUGUCACACUUUCCUUCCCCAAAUGCUCCAUUCAGGUCAAGAAAAAUGUCCCCAGAUGGAUCGAUUCUCAUUGUGCCUAUCCUAAUAUUAUCAGGUUAAUAUCAGAGGUUCAUGUAUACAUUUAUUAUUAUUUAAGAAUAAAAUGACUAUGGCUUUGGAUAUGA